CUGCAGCCAAUUAAACUGAGUGAGUUCCUUUCCUCAUGGAGCCCAGUGUGCAGUGGCUGCAAACAGCAACUUCCUUGAUAGUGUAUGUGGCCUGUUUCUUGUAUGGUUUGCUCUAAGGGACUUUGGUGACAGGC
ensembl:snoRNA SNORA70 Small nucleolar RNA SNORA70